AUUGAACGCUGGCGGAAUGCUUUACACAUGCAAGUCGAACGGUAGAGGGGCAACCCUCGAGAGUGGCGAACGGGUGAGUAAUGUAUCGGAACGUGCCUAGUUGUGGGGGAUAACGUAGCGAAAGUUACGCUAAUACCGCAUACGAUCUACGGAUGAAAGCGGGGGAUCGCAAGACCUCGCGCAAUUAGAGCGGCCGAUAUCAGAUUAGGUAGUUGGUGGGGUAAAGGCCUACCAAGCCGACGAUCUGUAGCUGGUCUGAGAGGACGACCAGCCACACUGGGACUGAGACACGGCCCAGACUCCUACGGGAGGCAGCAGUGGGGAAUCUUGGACAAUGGGCGAAAGCCUGAUCCAGCCAUUCCGCGUGCAGGAAGAAGGCCUUCGGGUUGUAAACUGCUUUUGUACGGAACGAAACGCGCUGUGCUAAUACCACGGCGUAAUGACGGUACCGUAAGAAUAAGCACCGGCUAACUACGUGCCAGCCGCCGCCGUAA
rnacentral:rRNA from 1 species